CUAACAUUUAUUGCAGACUGUUUGUUUCCGGUGCUCUUCAAGCACUUUGCAUUCGUAAUGUUCACAACAGCUCUAUGAGGUAGGUGCUUUAGGAAGGAGGGAAUGGAGGCUCCGAGAGGUUAAGCUACUUGUCUGAGGUCUCCAGCUCGAGGCACUGCCUGGCACUCUCACCCGGAAGCCUGCGGGCUGGCCGGCCCCAGAGCCCGCCUCCUGCUCUGCACACUGACCACACUGGGCCUUCGGAGAGUCCUGAUGCAGAUUAGCAUGCUAGUGACUCUGAGAAGUCCAGCAGAAAAUAUUUAAAAAUGAAGUUGUUUCUAUUCUGUACUCCAGAGUUCGUCCAUUUAGUUGAUGAGUCAUGCUUUCUUUUAAGUGGGGUGAUCAGACUUCAGGACACAGAAGCAGGUGAGCCCGGGCCGCCGCAGGCUCUCUGCGCAGGCGCCUGGGAGAAGCGUCUCUUCCUGGCUCGGGGCGGGGUGUCUCUCUGCGCCCGGCUCCGCUCAAGUGUCCCGACUGGGAUCAGUCGCUAAGGCCGAUGGCAGGGCAGGAAAGAUCACUAGAUGCAGGCAGGGUCCGGGGGCAGAGGCCCCUGUACUGGGGCCAGUCUCAGUGAAUGACUUUUCCCCCGGUAUCCAGGAGUUUUAAAUUACAAGAGAUAGACAACUACAAUGAUUUAAGAAAAGAAAAUUAAAAGAUUUAAGAGAUAAAGUUGGCUCCAAAUCGCUUGGGUCCAGGGACUAAAACUCUGUGUGUCUCUCUUUCAUCUCUCUCUCUCUCCCUGAGCUUUGCCUUCCUGUGCUGGCUUCAUUCCUGGGUAACACUCUCCCGGGGUGACUGGCAGCAGCUCCAGGCUCCAUCAUCUUUACUGCCGACCCAGCAAUCUCCUUUCCUGUAGCUCCAGCCCAAGCCUGGGCCCUGGCUCUUCCUGGACUCAAUUGGGUCAGGGGACCAUCCCUGAGCCAAUCGCUGGCACUGGGAGGCUGUGGCAUUUCAAUUGGCCAGGCUUGUAUCAAGCACCUAGGGGUGGAGUUGCCCUGUCCUCACCGCAGGGAAGCAAAGCCUCCAAGUGCCAUUGUGUCUCCUGGGCUGGGCAAGCGCAUUUCAUCUCCUCUGCACCAAAAACAGCCUGAGGACUUGUGAACUGGUCUGGAAGUCGAGAGCUCUUUUUUGAUUUCAUCAUUAAAUUGCUUUGCAAAAAGGGACACUUUCUGGUUUAAUUUCUUCUGUCACUAAUACUGAAUCAUGUGUAGC
rnacentral:lncRNA from 10 species